rnacentral:rRNA from 1 species
AUUGAACGCUGGCGGCGUGCUUUACACAUGCAAGUCGAACGGUAACAGGCCGCAAGGUGCUGACGAGUGGCGAACGGGUGAGUAAUGCAUCGGAACGUGCCCAGUCGUGGGGGAUAACGCAGCGAAAGCUGUGCUAAUACCGCAUACGAUCUAUGGAUGAAAGCGGGGGACCGGAAGGCCUCGCGCGAUUGGAGCGGCCGAUGUCAGAUUAGCUAGUUGGUGGGGUAAAGGCCCACCAAGGCGACGAUCUGUAGCUGGUCUGAGAGGACGACCAGCCACACUGGGACUGAGACACGGCCCAGACUCCUACGGGAGGCAGCAGUGGGGAAUUUUGGACAAUGGGCGCAAGCCUGAUCCAGCAAUGCCGCGUGCAGGAAGAAGGCCUUCGGGUUGUAAACUGCUUUUGUACGGAACGAAACGGUCUGGGUUAAUACCCUGGGCUAAUGACGGUACCGUAAGAAUAAGCACCGGCUAACUACGUGCCAGCCGCCGCGGUAA